GAUGACCACGGGGAGGCAGAAGAACAGCACGAGGAAAUCCCAGAAAGCCAGCCCCGCGAGGAUGCAGUUCCAAGCGCUUUUCAGGUACAUGUUGUGCCACACAGUGCACAUGAGCGCGAGGUUCCCAACGAUGCCCGUGGCGAACAACACGAGCGCAAGCAGCAUGACCGCGUACGCUGCGUAGGAGCCGUCGGUGACCGGGAACAGCGGAUUGAGGAGCCCCGACCCGCGGACUGACGAGGAGUUAGUAACGGGCCGGGCUGAGGAGGCUGCCCGCGGGGUGGUGGUGAAGUACCCGCUCGGAUCGUCGUACCGUCGCCCGUUACUGCUCGGAAGCGAGAGUCCAUCCGGAAACGCUCGUCCGUCCCGAAGCGAGACUGCAGUGCCAUCAGCUGGACAACACACAAACAAACAACAGCCUGAUGUCAAACCUGCUGCCAUCCUCCUCUUCAUCAGCAUCCUCCUCAUCGCCGCCAAACAGCUUGGUGCCCGACGGCUUCAGACGCACCAGAUGACACACACAAACACACACAGUUAAAAAGCUGCCGAUUACAGAGCUAAUUUCAAAUGUGUUACUUCCGCGAGAAAGGAAAAGGUUUCCAUUAGUGUCAUCAAGAUGCUGGGAUUAGACAAUAACUUGAAAAAUAUCAAUAUUCAGUAAAAUAGGGGAAAUGACAGAGCUUUGAGGACAUUACAUUUAAAGGUUAUUGUUAAAAGAUAUAUAUAUAAAAAGUUAAUGACAUGACAACAAUUAAUUUUCUAUUAUUGGUUAGUAUCAUAAAACAGCAAAGUGGCUGUAGAAAACAUCAACAAUAAUUCAUAUUUCUUACAUUUAAAAAAAGGGGGAAAAGGCAGCUGGUACAGUUGUAUUCAAAAUGAGGGUAAACCGUUUCAGGUAUACAGAAUUGAUAUUUUUGGAAAAUCUAAAUUAUUGUCACAAGUCACUAUGAUCCAUAACAUAUCUUCUAAGUAUUCCUGAUUCAAUUUUGUUUUUGAUAAGGAAUAAAUGCAUUUGUCUAAAUAUUUUCUAACAUCAGUAACUCUUCUCUCACCUUUUCUUUUGUUGUGGCCUUCUUAUGACCUGGUGCCUCGUCCUCUGAUUGGCUGUCCUGGAACAGCGUUUUCUUUAGCGUU